GUUGCGAGGCUUGUAAAAGACUGUUAUAAAUCAAUGCAGAUAUAAUUUUACGUAGUACAUGUCUUAUUUGUGUUGUAUUACAUGCUUCGCAGUUCCGCUGCCCUUCUAUGGUUCUACCUGAUGAUCAAGUCAAGAAAUUCAUCUUGACGACUUUCUGAGUCGAGGCCGACUGCUGCGCAAGAAGUGUACGAUGGCUCGACCAAGAAACUAUGGUGAAGAUAAACAGCAGUGAAACAGCAGGGUUUCGGCCACUGCUGCAACAACCGAAUGAGGGAAUCCUGCUGAGUAUAGCCAACUGACCUGGUUAUGGAAGCUCUCCUGCAUCCUGUGAGGGCAAGAUCUAGCCAAUGGACCUCCUAAACACAUUGAAGCAAUAGCUGUUGUGUGCUGCACAUGUCUGGCUUGGGUAUAUAUUGCAAUGUCCUUUCAAGAAUAAAGUUAGCUGCGAGUUGACUCUCUUUU